GAGACAUAUAGGUGUUAUGAUUUACCACUGGGCCACUUGGGAAGCCCUAUAACCGCCCUCCCCACUUGAAUUCUGAAUAACUUUCAAGAGCCAGGUGAGAAGAGGGUGGUGCUAUAGGAGAGACCACUGGAUAUAUGCCAGAAGACUAUAUCUGCUAAUAUACCCAUCCUUGUUGAAUAUUUACAGUUUUA